GAUAUAGAUAUAUAUAUAUCUUUGCAUUUUUAUAUAUAAUAUCUUUGCAUUUUUAUCAUUAACUACAUUUACUCUCUAUAGAAUUAUAGCUCCAGUACAUGCUCAAAUCACUGGAUCUCUACAUCCAGUGAUCCAAGCUUUCUUUUUGAUAUAAAAAAGAAAACUCUGUUCUGCAGCUGUUGACAUAGUUGCGCAGGCACUUUGUUGACUCUAGAGAAUAUCGGGCCAAUCGCACAUCCCUGUGACGGCGACUUUGCAUUUGGAUGUCAUCCAUAUCAACUUUCGAUGCCAGUUUCUGCGCCUACCAUGGUGACCACGGGUAACUGGGAAUCAGGGUUCCAUUCCAUACAGGGACCCUGAGAAACUGCUACCACAUGCAAGGAAGGCAGCAGGCGCGCAAAUGACCCACUCCCAACGCGGGAAGGUAGUGACGACAAAUAACAAUACAGGACUCUUUAGAGGCCUUGUAAUUGUAAUGAGUCCACUUGAAAUCAUUUAACUCAAUGGGAGGGAAGUCUAGUGCAGAGCCACUGACCGGUGCGUGCUGCAGCUGAAACUCCACUAUC